AUGUGGGCCUGAUGUGAUGGAAGCUCAUCUAAAGCCUCGGUUAGGAAGCUGGUGCAGGUUGCUGAGGUACAGACUGAGCUCCUGAGGAGCUGUGAGGCUGUAUGCAAGGAGAGGAGAUGGUUUUCAGCCUAAAGAAUUAAUUUGUGGUGUGACCACAAUUCCAUGGACUAGGGACAACAUGUCUUCUCCAACAUUAAUUAAAGAUAAUCCAAAUGUAUGGCUUCUAACUACUUGCAGAAGAUGGUUUAGUACUGCUAACACCAUGCAGUGUUUGAAGCUGAGAAGUUCCUUGAGGGCAGCACGAACCAGCAUCCCUUCACAGCAUCACUGAUGAUUGGAUCUCCAAAGAGAUGUGAGGUGCUGGUGGAUUAUUCUGCAUGGCUGAUGAAAACAUGUGGCCAAAAUAUCUUGGAUUUGUAUGGAGAGGUGUCUGAGGAGGAAUGGCCAGCCAACCUGAAACUUCAGAUAGCUGCAAAAAGCCACCAGCACUGGAGCAUAUCAUUCUUUAUCAUCCUCCUAACAGACACUGUGCUUCUGCUGGAGGAGUAUUGUGGACACGUGGGUGCUGCAACCUGGAAAUCCAACAGUGCUGACUCUGUCUGGUUUGCCCCAGAGUUACCCAAGCUGGAAAUCUCAUCAGCAGGAAGAGGGACUGCAGGCACUGUGGGGACUUGUGGCAAGGUGCUGAGAAGGUGACUUACUGGAAACACUGAACGGACAGAAGUAGAAAUUAGUCAUGUCAGAGACCACUCGGCAGCUGGAUAGGAUUCCUUGCAUGAUUCAUCCACAAAAAUGACUGCUUUGCCUGACGUUAUAUUUCCCCUCUUUAUUUAGAGUGCAGCUUAGACUGCCAUGGCUGUGGUCCGUUGUCUGGAUUGCUUUUUGAUGGCUGGGUGGUACGAAUAGCAUCCUUGGAUUCUCAUCAUUUCUAAACCACUACUUGAACCAGGGGGAAAAAAGACAACCAAAUUAAGGGCUUUGUCACUCCAGAAGACCUCAGUGGAAUGAACCUGUAAUCUUAGGAAAUCAAAGGGGAAUCUGGGGAAUGUGUCAUUUUUAGUGUCUUUAAGGCAGCAAAAUGACAAGUGAAAAUAGCCGCCUGUAAAUUGUGUUUGUAGGGUUAAUUGACAAGAAUAUUAGAGAAGGGAAAGUCUGGAUGAAAGCCUCUGGGUCUGAACUGCUCUAUUUCAGGGAGAGGUCUAAAGAAAGGACUGGUGCAACCAAAAUGUACUGGGAUGCAUGGAUCAGUUACUGUUCCUCAGCAGAGGAAUUCAUAAGUGAUGCUGCUCUGUCUGUGCUGUGACCACCCGUUCUUGUGAAAUUCACUCACAUUUUUGCAGGAUUACUGAGCUGCAGAAACCAGCAGUGGAAAAGGUCUCUGUGGUCUCUCUCAGCCCACUGAUGGUGGAGUGGGACCGUUCCCAAGCAUGCAGAGUUCUGUGCAGACCCAUCUGAUGUGAUUCAUGCUGUCGGAUGUCUCACAGCUUCCUUUGGGAACUCUAAUUGACCUCCCAUAACUAGGAGGCCUUAAUAUACCCAUCAUUUCCCUUCUACCUUAGACUUUUUGCCACUUGAUUUCCAUCCCAUUCUCGUUCAAGCCAUAAACUCCAACUCCUAGGUGCUGCACCCUCCCAUAGACACAAGCUGCAUAUUCAGGUAGAAUUCAGCUGCAAGAAUUAUGGCAGCUUUUGCCAGUAUAGAGCUCAGGAACUGCUGUGAUGAAAAGGAAGCACCAACUUUGUGUGACUGCAGAGUGGAUACCCAUAAACGUGGAUGCCAUACUUGCAAAAGUAAUUCCGCAUCCUACGGGUUAAGAUUUACAGCUUCCAGUUUCUUUUCAGCUUAUAUCCCAAGAUUUCCAGCAAUUUGUUUCAAGUUGGGGACAUCCCUGGGAAGGAUUCCAGCUCAUCUCUGAUGAAGCAAGAGGGCAUCUUGAAGAAUGUAAUUAGCUAAUUGUGGUAGGGGAAAAUGAAAUGCAGGCCUUUUUCUUAGUACAAUACAAAGCUUGUUUAUACUUAGAAGCCACCAAAGCUGAUCUUUAGCAAUAACAAAUAACUGCAUGGAAUAUUUGGCAAAACCAGAAUGAUGAUCACACAAAGAGGCUGGUAACAAGGAAUGACUGGUGGAUGUAAUCACAUCUGUCCAGAUCAUUAUUUUGGGGAAUGUAAGGUAGCAGGGAGGUGGGAUGCCUCAUUUCUGGAAAAUGAGCUACCCCAGCACAGCUGCUCAUCAACAUUCCUGGAAUAGCAAUGAGAAACAGGACGACUGCUGGGGAAAAAUAAAUCCCAGUGACCACCGUUAACGUGCAAAAAGAGGAGAUGCAUGGAUUGCAAGCUGUCAUCUGCUUGUUUGUGUCCCAUCCAUCCCCUUUCAUCCCUGCACCAGAAUUGUUUUCAGCAUUCUCCCCAGGCACUUGGAAAUAAGCACCAGUGGUCUAGAUGGAAAUAGCCUUGUGUGCCAUUAGGGAUGACCCUAGAGGCCAUUGGGAAUUGAGGACCUGCACACAAGCCUUGUGGCUGAGGCUCACCUCUAAUCUUCAGCCAUGAUUAUGAUGGACAAACUAGAGCUCAAAACGGAGUUCUGUAGCCUGUACUCAGCAAAGCCUGUGUUAGGGUCACCCAGAGUUUGAGGAACAAAGGAAUACCUCCAUUAUUUCUUUUUUUUGGCUCUUGUGAAGAUGAUAGGGUAAGUUCCAAGUCCUCAUGCCUUAACGUAAAGCUUUCUGCAGCACCAAGGGUCAUCUGUGAAUGGAGU